GCGGAGGGCGGCGCGCGGCCGCCCGAGGGGCCGCCGGCGGAGCGCGGCCGCCACAGCGACACCGACAGCGACGAGACUGUCGUGGAGGGCUCCGUGACGGAGAGCGAUGUGGAGGAAGAGGAGUUCCACAGGAGGAGGUUGGCUUUUCUUAACGAGGACGUUGCUUUAACAACUGAGAUAAGUAUUAAUAAAGGAACCUUUUCUCCAGAAAUCAGUUUUGUACAGAAAUAUGGUGGUCACAAAUAUUACGAUAAGGCAGAACAGAUAAACCCAGUACUUCAAGAGACAGACAUAUCUGACCAGUCUCAGUCCGUACUGAAGGGUUGGAUAAACCAUUCAUCACCUACUGAAAAUAUUUCUAAGACUUGUUUUUCAUUAAACUGUGCAGCAGAAGAACAGCAAAAUAAUUCUGUAGGUAUCAAUUUGAAUGGAUUUCAGAGGGAUUUAGAAGAAAAGAUAUCACGAAAAUUAAGUAAUAAAGAUUGCUGCCCAGAAAUAAGCCUCUGUCGGCAUGAUCCUGUGGAAGACAUAACAGUUCAAGAGGAACAGAUACUAGAAGAUACAUUUCCACAUGGUUUAG
rnacentral:lncRNA from 1 species